UCCUCAGCAGCAGGCUCACUACUUCCAUCACCCAUAUCAAAAAGCCCAACAACCUGUACAAAUAAUGUUGCUUAGGAAUUCAGACAUAUAUAGAGGUCAAAUAGAGGAAUUUCAGACAAUGAACAAUUAUCAUCAUCAAUAGGCUAGAGUUCAAAUUCUUAAUAUAUGAACUUGACAUAUAAUAGUGCCUCUAGCAGUGCCGCCUUAGUUUAAAAUCAAUAAUAUGGCAUAGAGAGGAGUGGAAAGGAGAGGAGAGAAGAGAAGAGAGGAAAUAAACAAUAUCUAUUGCUUUCCAUAUAAACUCACAAAGUUAUAUAUAUUCCAAUCCCAUGGAGAGAUGAGGGGAGGAGAGCUACAAAAACCAAUCCUGUUCUGUUUCUCCUUUCAGGCCUAACCCUAUGCAGUAGCAUGUUCAUCCAAGAAACCAACAACCUGUAACAUAUCCCUUAUUAUCCUACCCAUUACAAACUUGUCAUUAAAAUUAAAUUCAGCACUGACUAAUAUUAUCUUGAUCAAUCUUCAAGGACAUCGAGCUCGAUUUUGCUAUGCCACAGAGAAUGGUGCAUGUGGACCCUUCUUCCUUAUAUGCAUCAGGUGGUCUAAAGUUGGCUUUAACAUUUAGCCCACCUUACAUUAGAGAUUUGGACAUCAAAAGAAUGCUAAAACAUUCUAAAGCUUUUAGAUCUCUAAGUUUAGAAUAGGGAGGCAAACAUGCCCUAGAAUAUUAUAGAUCGCAGCUGCUGCUAUCACCAAGUAACACACUAAGAUAUCGAAGACCGCAACUGCUGUUGUCACCGUUUAAGGUACAGGAUUCAGUGGUGGUGCUUUUGCUUCUACCUUAACAACUAAGAUCUCAAUCCAUCUUAAUUUGUCCAACCGAACUCUGAAUGAAAAAAGGAAUCGCAUUUCAGGAAUGAUUGACGAGUUAGCACAAUGCAGGUUCAGAACCUUUGGUUAUUUCCAAAUAAAGACUUGCAUGUAUGGCUAUAACAAUUUAUACUUUUAAAAAUGGAUACUUAUUGAGACCUGAUAACCACAUUCAGCUAGCUUAGCAGGAGGGAGCAUGCUAACUCAUAAUGCCUUGUAAUUACUGAAUACUGAUGAACUAGCGGAGCCAUACCUCAUUGAUAUCCUCAAGUAGCUCUGACAAACAAAUUAGGGGACAUGACAAACAAAUUAGGGGACACUACCACUGCGUAUCUGCACAAGGGCCCAAGAGAGGUGGGGCCCGACCAUAGGAAUAGAGCUCUCAGCUCCCACAUCGUGCACCAGUGAAUGCGAGCAGCUGGUCUGGCCUUUCAGUAAUCCGAUCUGCAUGCAGGGUGAUCCAAGAUUCACGUGGAUAAGGAUGAAAUCAAGAGAGCGCUAGCUAGGAUCACACGCCAAUAGCACAAGGAAGGAAGGAAUGAGCGAGCGAACCUUGAGGAAAACAUCACCGACGGGCUUCUUUGUGUGGCUCUCCGUCGUUGGUCGCAACCCCCACCACCGCCCUCACUCGUCGCACAUCUCGCUGUGGUCACGGUCGGGGCUGCCCUUCCGUCCGGUCGACCGGUCAAGCAGGACUUGAGGAGGUGGUAGCGGAUUUAUGGCGACGGAUCGGGGUAGCGGGGCCGAGUGUGGGUUGUUGGCUUGUUGCGCCCGUGGGCGUGGCAGGCGGGGGGUGGGGGCGGGCGGAGGGAUCAUGAGCUAGAGGAGAUAUCAUGGAGGGAGUGGGCAGUUUGGAGGGAGAUCGUGGGGGAUUCCUUUGCACGGGCGUCUGGGAGUGAGCGGGUGCUCCUGAGAUGGCUGAGAUCGACGAUGAACAGGAGAGCACGGGACGGAGACGGCGCUAGCAGGAAGAGCUAGAGGGCGAGGGCUCGCUGGGCAGAGAAAGCAAGGGAGACUGACCCUAAAGCCAAGCUGGGUCAGGGUAAGAAGCGUGCGGCCUCUUGGCAGCUACUUGGGCCACACCAAAGAAACACAGCCCACGCGACCUAUGUCGUCGUCACGGCUUGCACAUUUUUAUGACCAUACCGGCCAGCCAACAUAGCUUCUACCGGCUUAUAAGCCUUCCUUCUUCAGAGAAAGCAAUCAUGGUCAAAUGCUCCUGCCAGUGUCAAAUUGAGGCAACUUUUUGCGUGAGCAGACGUGGGUCCGGUGUGUGCAAAACUAAGGCUGGCUUUCAAGUGGGCACCCGUAGUCUGCAAUGUGGGCCCAACGUCCGGAGUGUGUGAUGGCUUGCACGAUAGGAAUGGCUGAAUGGGAAUGGGGGAUUUUGUCACAUGGGACCGGAGUGCCCCAAGUCAGGAGUUGCUCGACGUCCCGCGUCACAGAAUGUAAUGGUUUGCCGGACAGCAGCGGUGGAGGAGCCAUUAUGGCUUAGUGUGGCAUCAGCCAUACCUUACUUUUAAUAACUCUCAUAUCUUCUACUAUAAUAACAAAAUAAGACGUGGUGUGGUGGAUAUGUUGUCUCUAAUCUAGCAGCAGGUCUUGAGUUCGAUUCACAAUUCUUGCAAAUUUCAUUUUUUUGAGUGCCAGACAGGGAUGAGGGAAAAACAGGAAAUGAAAAAAGGCAGAACAGAAAAUGGCAGGCUACCCUUACAACCUUAAUAAGUAGUAGAGAUAUAUAUAUAUAUAUAAGCAUCAAUUGUAUCAUGUCGUACAUGUAAGCAUCAAUUGAAUAAUGCGAGUGUCGGCGUUUCAACCCCGGGGGGUCCCUGGACCGAUGAGUAAAAUUGUCGCUGCGUGUCCCAGCCCAGAUGGGUUGGCGCGAGAUGGAACACAAGGGGCAAAACUGUGGCUCGUGUUAUCCUGCGCCACCAGGGGGGAUGCGCUUGCAUUAAGGGUUACAAGCGUUCACGAGGGAGAGAGAGAGAGCUAGCCGGUUCGUCAGCUCGUCCUCCCGCACGACCCUCCGCAUGGAGGCCCUGGACCUUCCUUUUAUAGAUGCAAGGAGAGGGUCCAGGUGUACAAUGGGGGUGUAGCUAUGCGCUAACGUGUCUGGCAGAGAGAUGCCAGAGCCCUGUGUACAUGCCAAUGUGGCUGUCGGAGAGGUGCUAGAGCCCUGUGUACGCGGUGUCGUGGUCGUCGGAGGAGCGCUUGAGCCCUGUAGAAGCACAACUGUCGGGGCUGCUGGGACCUUGCUGACGUCUCCUUGCUUCCAUAGGGGGCUCAGAACCACCGUCGUCAUGGAUGCACGCAGGGUGCCAUCAUUACUCGUUUACCGGGGCGAGCCAGAUGGGACGCCGGUCUUGUUCCCUGUAGCCUGAGCUAGCUAGGGGUAGGGUAAUGAUGUAUCCCCUGUGGCGCGGUCGGUCUGAGCCCAAGGUCGGGCGAGGCGGAGACUCCUCCUGAGGCCGAGGCCGGGGUCGGGUGAGGACACGAUUCCUUCUGAGGUCGAGGUUGAGGCCGAGCCCUGGGGUCAGGCGAGGCGGAGACCAUCUUCCGAGGCCGAGGUUGAGGCCGAGCCCUACGGUCGGGCGAGGUGGAGACCACCUUCUGAGGCCGAGGCGGGGGCCGAGCCCUAGGGUCGGGCGAGGCGGAGACCUCCUCCUGAAGCUGAGGCCCAAGGUCGGGCGAGGCGGAGCUUCCUGUUGCGCCUGAGGCUGAACUUAGCUAUCGUUAGCCUCACCCUAGCGGGUGGCACAACAGUCGGAGUGGGACAGGCGGCGCUGUUUUCCUGUCAGGUCGGUCAGUGGAGGGGCGAAGUGACUGCGGUCACUUCGGCCCUGCCGACUGAGGAGCGUGUGUCAGGAUAAGGUGUCAGGCGAUCCUCGCAUUGAAUGCGCCUGCGAUAUGGUCGGUUGGUGAGGCGAUUUGGCCAAGGUUGCUUCACUACGAAGCCUGCCCGAGCUGGCUUCGGGCGAGUCGAGGGUGCGCCCGUUGCUUGAGGAGGCCCUCGGGUGAGGCGUGAAUUCGUCUAGGACUACUGUUCCUGCCCGAGGCUGGGCUCGGGCGAGGCAAGAUCGCAUCCCUUUAGUGGAUGAAGCCUUGACCUGAAUCGUGCCCAUCAGUCUCUGCAGCUUGCGCUGAUGGUGGUUACCAGCCGCGUUGAGGAGUGUUGGGGGUACCCCUAAUUAUGGUACCCGACAGUAGCCCCCGAGCCUCAAAGGGAGUGUUGGUACUCACUUGGAGGCUUUGUCACACUUUUUUGCAAGGGGACCGACCUUUCUCGGUUACACUUUGUUCCAGUGGGUGCGUGUGAGCGCACCCGCCGGGUGUAGCCCCCGAGGCCUCGGAGGAGUGGUUUGACUCCUCCGAGGUCUUAAUGCCUUUCGUGAUGCCUCGGCCGGUCUGAUUGUUCCCUCAUGCGAUCUGAUUGUAGCCCGGUUGCGUGGUCAGGUUCCGAGUUUUCAGGCUGGUUUGUUGAUGCUGUCAACAGUUUGGUUGUAGCCGGGUUUGCGAGAGCAGCCCUCGAGCCUCUGCACGGAGCGAGAGGACGAUUAAGGACUGUCUCAACUUUUAUCAUACGCCCCUUCGUCGCCUUUUCGCAAGGAGGAAGGGGGGGAAGCGCCAUGUUGCCCUCGGAGGGCGCCGAACAUGGUGUCUCCAGUGAGUUGCUAACAGGUGAUCCGAGUGGACGCCCGUGCCCUGUUCGAUAAGGGUCGGCUAGUGGCCAGAGGCGUGCUCCAAAAGUACCUGCAGGUGAUUUGCUGGACCUGGUCCCGUUCGAUAGGGUCCGAGGGCUCGAUGCCUCCCUCUGAUGGGAUUCCGUUACAAAAUCGCUCCUGCUGGUCUCGGAAAUGUCCUAGGGUACCUCGGGAGCAUAGCCCGAGCCUCGGCCAUGUAACGGACGUACCCAGAGUCAUCCCUCGCUCUGCGUGCUCUGAGGCGGUUGUCGAACCCUUCCGAGGGGCCAGCCUUCGAACCCCUGAUCAGUAGUGGGCGUGGAGCCCGAGUGCUCUGAGGCGGCUGUCGAACCCUUCCGAGGGGCCAGCCUUCGAACCUCUAAUCAGUAAUGAGCCUGAAGCCCGAGUGCUCUGGGGCGACUAUCGAACCCUUCCGAGGGGCCAGCCUUCGAACCCCUGAUCAGUAGGAGGGUUCGGGGCCCGCUUCCUUCGCGGAGAAGGAUCCCUUUCGAAAUAUCCCCUUUCCCGGUCCCUGUAGCAAGAGAGAGAAAGGGGAAGAGGAAAAGGAUAUGAAUUUAAACGGUGUGGCGCACCUUUUUUGACGCGGUCAUCACGGCGGAGGUGAAACGUCGCCCGCUUCGCCUGCCAAAGGUGUCGCUUGCCCUGCCACGGAGUUAAUGCGACGGGACGGGUGGUUCGCGGGGCGGCCGCGUGCGCGGGCCAUUCGAGGAACGGAACACGGGCGCGUCGUCUUCACGUCGUGGGAGAGGGUUCCCCUACUGCUCCAGGAGGGGAUGUGAGCCUGCAGACGACUUGACCGCCGCUUCCGCUCGUCUGCUGCCGCCAUUACUGUCGGUCCACUUUUGGCCAUAUCAACCGUCGCACCUCCUCCCGCGGCUGACUAACCCGUGAUCCAUGUGCUCGAUUGGCACUGUUGGGCCAUGCGCAGGGUCGCCUCGAGUCGCGACACUGGUUCCGCAGUCGAGAAGGCGCGGCUUUGGCGCAAGUGGCGUUGCAGUUUCUUGCACGUAGUAACCAGCAUGCUGGUUACAUGACGUGUGGGCCUGGGCCUCCAUGCUGGAUGCGUUGAAGCCAAGGGGGUGCGCCCUCGUGGUGCGGUUGCACGCCACCUGCAUUGCGGUCCGCCCUUUCGACCGCUGGUUUCAGCGAGGAUGGUGGAGUUCUUGUAACCGCGGGGUGGUUACACGCUCCGCGUGCGGCGGUUUGGCUCCUUCCGUUUCGAGUUAGCUUGCACGACGUGUGGGACCCAGCCCCCGUGUCGUAGGGGGAGGACCCUAGAGCACGUUGGUGAAGACUUUGUCCGUGACGCCUGAGGACACGAGUGGGGAGAGCCGCCUUUAAAAAGGGAUCGACCCCCCGUGCGGUAGCCAUGCCUUCGCACUCUCCUCAUGCAUCGCGCCCUUCCACCUUCCGAGCCCCCGGAUGGGGAGCACCCGCGUUGCUUUCGUCUUGCUGUUGUUGGAGGAGCACGACCUCGCGGGGGUUGGUACCCUUCAGCCGUCGCUCGUCUUCAAGGAUUUUCAUCAGGCAGCCCGGCUGCAUUCCCUCACCAAUGGUCACGCAGAAUGGUCACCACCGAUUCGAUGGUGGGGAGAAGCAAGCUGGGCUGCAACCUCUGCCCCGCCCUCAGCUUCAAGGAUCUUCAUCAUCCUUGCUGUGGCGGGGGGCGAGCUGUGCCGGAGUUCUACCUCCUGCAUGGGUCGGCGGGCCACCUCUUCCUUCAGCAUUCAGAGGAGAGGGCGCUCACCGGCCUAGCGGAGGGGGCGGACUUCGACAACGCGGGGCCAGUCGGCCGCAAGUGUCGUCAGCUCCAGCAUGCCUGGCUCGCUGGCUUAGCUGGCUCUAGCGCUGCUUCUGGUGCCACCUCCCACCGCUGAGGCGGAGCGUGGCUGUCCGCCCACCGUACGGGCGGCUGUUGCGCCGCGCGCACCAGGGGACCAUCCAAGACGUCGCACGCGGCAAGGGCGACGUUCGUGUUCUUGGAUUGUCCUGUCCUCGCUCCGGCACGACGCCUCCGCGCGGAGGUCGGUGCCUACCCAUCCACGAGGACUUGAGUGGGGAUCUGCUGGUGCAGGCUGGGGCGGCCGCCAUUCGUUGGCGUAGCGCCGGCGCGCAGGUGGCCGCUGUCGUCGGUACUGAGGUGGUGGUCGCCAGAGGAGGUUUCUCCGCCGACGAGACCGUCGGCGCCACCCGCGGACAGACCUUCGGCUCUUUGGCUUUGACGGCUUGUCCUCUCCCCUCGUGUGGGGACGUGGGCGAGGGCCUUCCUACAGCAGCAUUUGCCCUGAGGUCAUCGCUGCUACUGUUUAGCCGCCUAAGGCGGAGGUCGUUGUCGCUGCUGCUGCAGUGGUCGGUGGCGAGCCACCCAGAGUUUGUUGUCCUGGAGGCCCUCCGAUGUGGAGGUUGUUCAUACCCACGGGAGUGGAACCGGAGUUCCGUUUGUAAUGGCACCUUGAGUGCCGGUGUAUGUUCAUUGUGGCUGUCGGGGCCUGAACAUCUGGGUAUUUGGGCGUGAAGCCGUGUUUCUCCCUCAUUUCGAGCACUGGGACUCGCCUGUCGACUAGCUGAACCGCUUAACCGAGUGUGAGUUGCUUUGCACGGAAGGUGACAAGUGAGGUAUCCGUAUCCCGGAGGUGUAGGAGUCCCUCGGCUCUGUCGGCCUUGCCACUCAAGGCUUCUCUUGCUCAGUUAUAGAACCCUCGGCUGCUAUGCGAUGAGCCGGAGCCGGAGGCAGCGGUGUCAGCGCGGACAGAGGCGGAGUCGGCUCGAAAAGGGGCUUCGUUGGCCCAGGAGCAGGUGGCUUCCCAGGCUGAGGAGGUGCAGCGGCGGCGGCCGGAGCUUGGCUAGGUCGUCCGCUAGCGGGACCAACCCCGGAGUCAUGCUGCCGAGGCCAUGAGCUAGGCUGCUGUCCUCGGGGGAUAGCUGGCUGAGGCUACAGAGCGGUCGGUCGAGGUGUCCGCUCGGGCCGGAACCCUUGCGGAGACCCUGGCUGCGAUGGCCCAAGCGCGGUGCUGGCGUCCUCCUUCGAGGUGGAGAUCCUUCCGCCCGUGUCGCCGUUCGAGGCCGGGCCAGAUUCCAUCGAAGGUGAAAACAACGCCGAGGGUGCUGCUGCUCCCUCUGUCGAUGUCUGAACCUACAGGAACAGUUUGUCUGUAGUAUGCGUAUGUUUUUUGCGGCCGCCGAGGCCCAAACAUCUUAUUGUCGUGUUAUAAAGCUGCGUUUCCUUUCCUCUUGUUUCGAGUAUCAGGACUUGUUCGUCGGUAGUAGAAUUGCUUGUCCGAGCGAGAGUUACUUUUCGCGAAAGGUGGUGAGUGAGGUAUCCGUAUCCCAGAGGCGUAGGAGUCCCUCGGCUCGGUCGGCCUUGCCGCUUACGUGUACUCUUACUCGUCCGCAGGAUUCUGUUAUCGAUAUAGUCGAGAAGGCACGAAAAUCGUUCUGGCAGAAAAGUUUUCGAGCGUUAAGACUUGUUCGGCAGCAGAAUCGCUUAUCCGAGCGUGAGUUACUUAUCGCGGAAGGUGAUGAGCGAGGUAUUCGUAUCCCGGAGGCGUAGGAGUCACUCGGCUCGGUCGGCCUUACCGCUUACGUGUACUCCGUCGUUUUCAGGACCCCGCUAUCGAAGCAAUCAAAAAGCGCGAAAGAUGUUCUGGCAGAAAGACUUUUUCCGAGGAAAAUUUUGACGCAGAGGGGGUUCCCCCCUUCUAGCCCCCUAGGGAGGGUCGGGCUUUGCCGAGGCAAGGCUGUCCCUUCCUUGACGGUUUGACUUUAUUUUUGUAUGUAUAGAAAACGAGGUAUAUGAACGACUUGAAAACAUCUUAAGGGUAAAAGCGACGUAGCUGUCGGAUGUUCCAAGCGUUGUUGUAGACCUCGCCCUGAUCGUUGGCCAGCUUGUAUGUUCUAGGCUUCAAAAUCUUGGCGAUGAUGAACGGCCCUUCCUAGGGAGGAGUAAGCUUGUGGCGCCCUCAGGCUUCCUGGCGUAGCCGAAGUACCAAGUCUCCCACCUGGAAGUCUCAGGGCCGAACCCCUCGGGCGUGGUAGCGUCGUAGAGACUGCUGAUACCGCGCCGAGUGUAGUAAGGCCAUGUCCCGAGCCUCUUCCAGCUGGUCCAGUGAGUCUUCUCGGCUGGUCUGGUUGCUUCGGUCGUCGUACGCCUUUGUCCUCGGGGAACCGUAUUCCAAGUCGGUGGGCAAGAUAGCCUCGGCCCCAUAGACUAGAAAGAACGGCGAGAAGCCCGUGGCUCGGCUUGACGUCGUCCUCAGACUCCAGACCACCGAGGGUAGUUCCUUCAUCCAUCGCUUGCCGAACUUGUUGAGGUCGUUGUAGAUCCUUGGUUUAAGUCCCUGCAGAAGCAUGCCGUUGGCACACUCUACCUGCCCAUUCGUCAUGGGGUGAGCUACGGCGGCCCAGUCCACGCGGAUGUGGUGGUCCUCGCAGAAGUCCAGGAACUUCUUCCCAGUGAACUGGGUGCCAUUGUCGGUGAUGAUGGAGUUCGGGACCCCAAAGCGAUGGAUGAUGUUGGUGAAGAACGCCACCGCCUGCUCGGACCUGAUGCUGGUUAGGGGUCGGACCUCGAUCCACUUGGAGAAUUUGUCGAUGGUGACCAGCAGGUGCGUGAAGCCCCCGGGUGCCUUCUGCAAGGGACCGACGAGGUCCAGACCCCACACAGCAAACAGCCAGGUGAUGGGUAUCGUCUGCAGGGCCUGAGCGGGCAGGUGCGUCUGUUUUGCGUAGAAUUGACACCCUUGGCAGGAGCGUACGAUCCUAGUGACGUCGGCCACCGCGGUCGACCAGUAGAAGCCUUGUCGGAAGGUGUUCCCAACAAGGGCUCGAGGUGCUGCAAGCCCUCGAGUGUAUCUCUUGCAAUAGCUCAUGUCCUUUGGUGACGGAUAUGCAUCAUUGGAGAAUGCCCGAGGGGCUGCGGUGGUGGAGCUCCUUUUCAUCACCUAGUAAGACGAACGACUUGGCGCGCCACACCAGUCGCUGAGCUUCGGCCUUGUCGAGGGGUAGCUCUCCUCGGUGGAGAUAUUGCAGGUACGGGGUCUGCCAGUUUCGAUUAGGCGUGACCCCAUUCAGUUCUCCCUCGACGCGCAGUGCCUCACCCUUAGCGGCCGAGGAUACCUUGGGCUGGGCCGAGGCCUCCUCGGGCUGGGCCGAGGCCUCCUCGGGCUCGGGUGUGUCGUCGGUCUUGACGGAGGGUUGAUGUAUGUCUCUGGAGAAGACGUUCAGGGGAACCGUUGUCCGCCCCGAGGCUAUUUUAGCCAGCUCAUCUGCAGUCUCGUUGUACCUUCGAGCGGUGUGGUUGAGCUCGAGCCCAUAGAACUUGUCUUCCAGGCGCCGAGCUUCAUCGCAGUAGGCCUACAUCUUCGGGUCGCAGCAGUGGGAGUUCUUCAUGACUUGAUCAAUGACAAGCUGUGAGUCGCCACAAGCGUCGAGGCGCCGAACCCCUAGCUCGAUGGCGAUGCACAACCCGUUAACCAGAGCCUCGUACUCGGCCACGUUGUUUGAUGCCGAGAAAUGGAGGUGUAGCACGUAGCGGAGAUGUUUCCCGAGGGGUGAGAUGAAGAGCAGGCCCGCGCCGGCUCCUAUUUUCAUCAGCGACCCAUUGAAGUACAUGGUCCAGAGUUCCGGUUGGAUCAAAGCUGUUGGUAGCUGGGUGUCGACCCAUUCAGCCACGAAGUCCGCCAAGACUUGGGACUUGAUGGCCUUUCGAGGAGCGAACGAGAUUGUCUCGCCCAUGAUCUCCACCGCCCACUUUGCUAUCCUACCCGAGGCCUCUCGGCACUGGAUGAUCUCCCCCAGAGGGAAGGAUGACACCAUAGUCAUCGGAUGAGACUCGAAGUAGUGUCGCAACUUUUGUCGCGUCAGAAUUACUGCGUACAGUAGCUUCUGAAUUUGCGGGUAGCGGAUCUUGGUCUCGGAUAGCACUUCACUAAUAAAGUAGACCGACCUCUAGACGAGCAGUGCAUGCCCUUCUUCUCGUCUCUCGAAUAUGAUCGCGGCGCUGACCACCUGAGUGGUUGCGGCUAUGUAGAUCAAGAGGGCUUCUCCCGCAGCGGGGGGCACCAAGAUGGGCGCGUUUGUAAGGAGAGCCUUUAAGUUUCCGAGGGCUUCCUUGGCCUCGGGGGUCCAAGUGAAGCGCUCGGUCUUCCUUAAGAGGCGGUACAAGGGUAGGCUUUUUUCGCCGAGGCGUGAGAUGAAGCGGCUCAGGGCCGCAAGGCAUCCCAUGACCCUUUGUACCCCUUUCAAGUCUUUGAUAGGCCCCAUGUUGGUGAUGGCUACGAUUUUCUCCAGGUUGGCUUCGAUGCCUCGCUUGGAGACAAUGAACCCGAGGAGCAUGCCCCGGGGGACCCCAAAGACACACUUCUCGGGAUUGAGUUUCACGCCCUUCGCUCUCAGACACUUGAAUGUCGUUUCAAGGUCAGAGAGAAGGUCGGAGGCUUUCCUCGUCUUGACUACAAUGUCAUCGACGUAAGCCUCGACCGUUCGGUCGAUGUGCUCUCCGAACACGUGGUUCAUGCACCUUUGGUAUGUUGCACCUACAUUCCUCAAACCAAAUGGCAUAGUAGUAUAGUAGUACAUGCCAAAAGGUGUGAUGAAAGAAGUCGCGAGCUGGUCGGACUCUUUCAUCUUGAUUUGGUGAUACCCUGAGUAGGCGUCGAGGAAUGACAGGGUUUCGCACCCAGCAGUGGAAUCCACAAUUUGAUCAAUGCGAGGCAGAGGGUAGGGAACCUUCGGACAUGCUUUGUUUAGACCAGUGUAGUCUACGCACAUCCUCCAUUUCCCACCUUUCUUUUUCACAAGCACAGGGUUGGCUAACCAUUCAGGAUGGAAUACCUCUUUGAUGAACCCUGCAGCCAUCAGCUUGUGGAUCUCCUCGCCUAUGGCUCUACGCUUUUCUUCGUCGAAACGGCGCAGAGGCUGCUUCACGGGUCAGGCUCCAGCUCGGAUAUCCAGCGAGUGCUCGGCGACAUCCCUCGGUAUGCCGGGCAUGUCCGAGGGACUCCACGCAAACACCUCGGCAUUCGCGCGGAGAAAGUCGACGAGCACUGCUUCCUAUUUGGGGUCGAGCUCGGAGCCGAUCCGGACUUGCUUGCAGGCGUCGUUGCUGGGGUCGAGAGGGACGGACUUAACCGCCUCUGCUGGUUCGAAGUUGCCGGCGUGGCGCUUCACGUCAGGCACCUCCUUGGAGAGGCACUCUAGGUCGGCGAUGAGGGCCUCGGACUCGGUGAGGGCCUCAGCGUACUCUAGGCACUCCACGUCGCAUUCGUACACAUGUCGGUACGUGGAUCCAACGGUGAUGACCCCGUUGGGGCCCGGCAUCUUGAGCUUGAGGUAGGUGUAGUUGGGGACGGCCAUGAACUUGGCGUAGCACGGUCUCCCCAGCACCGCAUGGUAGGUUCCUCGGAACCCGACCACUUCGAACGUGAGGGUUUCCCUACGGAAGUUGGAGGGAGUCCUGAAGCAGACGGGCAGAUCGAGUUGUCCAAGGGGCAGGACGCGCUUCCCGGGGAUGAUCCCGUGAAAGGGCACCGCACCCGCCCGGAUCAUGGACAGAUCGAUCUCCAAGAGCCCGAGGGUCUCGGCGUAGAUGAUGUUGAGGCUGCUGCCUCCAUCCAUGAGGACCUUGGUGAGCCUGGUGUUGCCGAUGAUGGGGUCGACAAUGAGCGGGUACUUUCCUGGGCUCGGCACGUAGUCGGGGUGGUCACCCUGGUCGAAGGUGAUGGGCUUGUCGGACCAGUCUAGGUAGACUGGUGCCGCCACCUUUACCGAGCAGACCUCCCGGCGCUCCUGCUUGCGGUGCCGAGCCGAGGCGUUUGCCACUUGCCCACCGUAGAUCAUGAAAUAGCCGUGGACCUCGGGGAACUCCUCUGCCUUGUCGCCCUCCUUCUUGUCGUUGUCUUGGCCUUUGCCGCCUUCCGCCGGGGGCCUGGCCUUAUGGAAGUAGCGCCAAAGCAUGACGCAUUCCUCAAGGGUGUGCUUGACGGGGCCCUGGUGAUAGGGACACGACUCCUUGAGCAUCUUGUCGAACAGGUUGACCCCUCCGGGAGGCUUUCGAGGGUUCCUGUGCUCGGCGGCAGCGACAAGAUCUACGUCGGCGGCGUCGCGCUUUGCUUGCGACUUCUUCUUGGCCUUCUUCUUCGUGCCGCGCUGGGCGGACGCCUUGAGGACGUCUUCCUACUGGCGUCCCUGAGGCUGCUUGUCCUUCUGGAAGAUGGCUUCGACUGAACUUGGUGGCGAUGUCCAUCAACUCGCUCGCCUUGGUGGGAAUCUUGUGACCGAGCUUGCUCACCAGGUCACGGCAAGUGGUGUUGGCGAGGAACGCCCCGAUGACAUCCGAGUCGGUGAUGUUGGGCAGCUUGGUGUGCUGCUUCGAAAACCGCCGGAUGUAGUCUCGUAGGGAUUCCCCUGGCUGUUGGCGGCAGCUUUGGAGAUCCCAAGAGUUCCCAGGGCGCACGUAUGUGCCCUGGAAGUUUCUAGCGAAGGCUUUGACCAGGUCGUCCUAGUUGGAGAUCUGCGCAGGAGGCAGAUGCUCAAGCCAGGCUCGGGCGGCGUCGGAGAGGAACAGGGGGAGGUUGCGGAUGAUGAGGUUGUCAUCGUCCGUUCCACCCAGCUGGCAGGCCAGCCGAUAAUCCGCAAGCCACAGUUCCGGCCUCAUUUCCCCCGAGUACUUAGUGAUGGUAGUCGGGGCUCGGAACCGGGUCGGAACGGCGCCCGUCGUAUGGCCCGGCUGAAGGCUUGCGGACCUGGUGGUUCGGGCGAGGGGCUCCGAUCCUCCUCACUGUCGUAGCGUCCCCCACGCCUAGGGUGGUAGCCUCGGCGCACCUUCUCGUCGUGGCGGGCUCGACGGUCGUGGCGGUGGUGCUCGUUGCCGAGGCGACCAGGGGUCGCAGGCGUCGCGUCCCGCGUGCGCCCGGUGUGGACCGAGGCUUCCCGCAUGAAUCGGGAAGUCGUUGCGCGAUGCUCCGGGGGGCACCCUUGCCUUCGAGAGGCAGAGCUUUCGGCCUGUCGGACCGCGGCAUCCUCCAGGAGAUUAUUGAGUUCUCCUUGGAUACGCCGCCCCUCAGUGGUGGAUGGCUCCGGCAUCGCUCGGAGCAGCAUUGCCGCUGCAGCCAGAUUCUGGCCGACCCCACUAGAAGUCGGGGGCAGCCUUGCCCUGGCAUCGUCAGCGAUACGGUGCUGGACGUCCCGGGCCUGAUGACGCGCUUCUCCGGCGAGUGCUCGGCCUGCCCACUCCUGCUCGAUGUUUUGCCGGAGCUGCAUAAGUUGUCCUGCUUCCUCGUCGAGCUUGGCCUGCAUCUCGCGGAUUUGCUCGAGUUGUGUGUCCUGACCACCCGCAAGGACUGGGACCACAGCUAGCUCCCGCAGGAUGUCAACGCGAGGCGCAGGCCCAGGGGGAUCGUCAUCCUCCGGCAUACCAAGGUGGUUGCCUUCGUCGUGACCCCCUAGAUCGACGUGGAAACAUUCGCGACUUGGGCCACAACCCUCGUUGUCAAGGAUGUGGCCAUCAUCGGAGGAAUCGGAAAGGCAGUAGUCACAUGCAGCCAUGAAGUCUCGCAUGGCACUGGGAUUAUUGAGCCCGGAGAAAUCCCAACCAGAGUCGGGCUCGUCUUCUUCCUCAGAACCCGGGGGCCCGUAGGUCGAGACGGCCGUCAUUCGGUCCCAGGUUGGCCACAUAUGGUACCCCGGAAGGUUAGGAUAUGCCUUUAUGAAAGCGCUCACCGAAGCGGGGUCGCUUGGUGGAUCGAAGCUGAAUCUAAAAGGCACAGGGUGGAAAACGGACGGUACCUCUCGAUCGAUGGACGGUGACGAAGCCGCGUCGGGGACGGACUACACCGUUAUCUUAGGUACAAGGCUAACGCCCAGCAAGUCCUCCGCGAGAGUGCUGGCAUCAUCUGUCCGCUUGGGGUUGGCACGUUGCGGGGAAACGACACUCGUCGUCGUCUCAGGCGCGAGGUCAACGCCCGACAUGUCCCCCGCUGGGGUGCCGGCGUCGUCGACUCGCUCGACAGCCGACGAGAUGUCGCCUCCUGCCUGGCCACGGUUGCCCCGCCUCCUCCUCCUGCAGCGAGGAAGGUGACGGGAUAAACCCGGAUGCUGUUCUUCCGCCACGGGGGGAAGACGUUGUCGAGUUCACCACCGCCGGGCGAGCUGACGGCCGUCGUUGUCACUGUCGCGCUGCGGAGGAAGGAGUACCAUGUCGUAGCUGCCGUCGAGGGACAUGAACUCGAGGCUCCCGAAGCGGAGCAGCGUCCCGGGCUGAAGACGUUGCUGGAGACUACCCAUCUGGAGCUCAACGGGAAGUUGUUCGUCAACACGCAGCAGGCCCUACCUGGUGUGACAACUGUGGCAGAACCUCCCAAGUUAUUGGGCCCACAUGCACCUGUCCUUGUCCCAAAGACCUCAGACGACUAUGCAUGUGCACCAGAUAACUUAACAGGAUCUGUCCGAUUGCCCCAAGGACAUCGGAUAAACCACUUACAACCAGAACCGCGGGAUUAAGUAACACAAAUCACACACACCAAUAGUGUUGCAGCGGAAAUCUUAUUACCAAAGUUUACAAGUUACAAAAAUUUUACAUUAGUUUAUCGAAGUGAUUACAAAAGUAUAAGUUUGAAAUAUAUAUGCUAGCUCAAGGGAUCAUCCUCAAUAAGAAGUAUAGAAGGGUUACUUAGGCUUAUAAGAAGGCCGAGCCCACCGGCACUUAACACCAUCAACAACAGCACAAAGUUAGAACCUGAAAAACAACAGGGAAUAAAACCCUGAGUAUGGAAUUACACAGCAAGUCUUACCCGACUAAAGAAAAGACUCUCAAAGGUAUGUUGGUUAAGGGAGUCAAGGUAAGGCUUCUCAAUAAUCAAAGACUCUGUUUUGCAGAAAUGCUUACUAAAAGUGGAUCCUUAAAAAUCCAGUUUUAUUUGUCAAGUUAAGUAAAAUUACCUGCACUAGAGUUCUUUCUACCCUAGUUCAAUCACUGGACCUGUACUAGCCAAUUUCUUAACAAACCCAUCAUCUUUACUGGAUUGCUACGUGUAAGUCAGUGACCAAGUCUUCAUAACCACGAAGGUACGGCAAUCCGAAUCGAUUAUACUCAGCUGAGGAUCUCCAAUCACACGACAUAUGUAGCACUUAACCCUUGCAUAUGUCAACCCGCCACCGGGGUUCUUAAGACCAGAUCAGGUUCACGCGAACCGAGAGCACAGAUACACCACCGUCCAGCCUCUUGUCACGGAGGGUACACACUACUCUUGCCACCGCUCCAGGCCCAUUCCGUGUUAUCUUAUUCUGGCCUUAGUCUGCCCGAGGCAAGGCUUACCCAUGACGAGGCAUGUGACCAGUUAAAGGGUCCCCGGUCAGCAGGCCUACAUCGAGACGGUCCUUAAUCGACUCAGACGGAGACACUACAUCGAGACUCCUUUCUCGUUCAAGUCACCCGCCCGGUCUCAGCUUAAUCAUUUCAAACCCAAAGUUUGGUACCUGGCAGAGGUACAUCUUUUCCGAUGUUGAACCCAUCAAGGCCUUGAUGGAUCCACCAUCAAAUUUUAUUUUCGAAAACAUCCCACCCACUUUUGCCACAUCAUCUUUUGUAAAAACAAAACAUUUUGUUUUUCUAAAGCAAGGCUAAGCAUCAAAAUCUUUUGUAAAAUGGGUGAUCAAGGAAGGUAAUCAAAUUCAAGGAAGGUAAUGCAGGAAUUGUUUUAUCAAUCAACUUCUAUCACCUAAUGCAUCAAGCAAGUGAGAAAGAUUUUAAAAACAUCAAGGAGGGUGGCAAAUGCAUCGGGGCUUGCCUGAGUAACACUAGGUUAGUGUUGUUAGACGACGUUCGCUUGACGAGCAGCCUUUGUCUUGGUACUUGAUCGGGUUAUCCAUCUGCAUCAUCCUGCGGGUUAGCCCACGCUUGGGGUCGACUUGGCUCGUCUUCCGCAUCACGCGAUUAUUUAUCGUACCUCAUGAGAUGCACGAUGCACAUGUAUGAGCACAUGUAUAACAAGUAUAAUAUAGAUAAUCUACACUAAAAAGGAUGAAACACUUAAAACCAAGCUUUAAGCACCAUGGAUAUCACAGCAGGGCAUCGACUACAUCCAUUAAUCAAAUUGACAUAAUAACACUGGAAUAUCUAUUUUUAUUCCUAUCUUUUUAUUAACUCUUUAAAUUGUGUAUCUUAAUUACUUGAUUUAUCGAUUUAUCUAAAUCGAUCAUCACAAUAUACACAUGCUAAAUUAAUAACAUUUAUUGUGACCAAUAAUUCUAUUUAAUCUAUUUAUAGACUUAAUUGACUGGAAUACGAAUUAACUUACCCUUAUUAAAUUCGACGUGAAAUCACGAAAUCGACGACGCCUUUCAGCUCAGCAUUUCACCGAAAAUAGGGUGAGUGCUGCGUCGAAUCGCGCUACAUCUUUAUCCGCAUCGAGAAUUCUCCGGCCGCGUACCGAUUGAUUUUCUUCUGCGCCUAAUCUUCUCAGAGCUUGGCGUAGACGAGGAUGACGAUCGACGACUUGUUCGAGCUGUUGUCGAGCACUUGGUGAAUCUCACGCUGUUAGCUUCGUCUUCACCCGAUUCUUGGGUUUUUUGGUGACUUGCGGACGACGAGAUCGUGUUUAGAGCGAGCUGGCGAGGUGGGGGUUGAGCAAGGGAUGACGGGUUCGACGACUCGAUUGGGAAUUAAAGCCGAGCGAGCUGAGAGGGCACACUGGCAGGCAGAAAACAGGACACGACUGCGUGCAGAGGAGAACUCGGCACGACGAGGGACAACUAAACGCGUCGCGCGCGACAAGGAAGCAGAAAACCACGACAAGGGUGCGCGACGCGCAGACAGGGCGAGCUGGGAAC
rnacentral:lncRNA from 1 species